CAGGAAUUGUGCAAAGACGUAAACACCCUGCUCAUGGGCAUCCCAACAAAUUUAUGCUUUUUUUUUAACAAAACUCCUCCAAAUAGAAGCAAUAGACUUUAAAAAUAAAUGGUUCCUCUGAAUAGAGGCAACAGACUUUGAAAAUAAAUGACUUCUCUGAAUAGAGGCAACGAACUUUGAAAAAUAACGAACUUUGAAAAAUAAAUGGCUCAUUUGAAUAAAGGCAAUGGACUUUGAAAAAUAAAUGGCUCCUCUGAAUAGAGGCAACGGACUUUGAGAAUAAAUAAAUACUCCUUAACAAUCAUGUCCAAAGGAAUCAAAGAUCAUGUUUUAAGGAAUUUCAAGAAAUUAUGC
rnacentral:lncRNA from 1 species